AUGAAGUCGGAAUUGCUAGUAAUCGCGGAUCAGCAUGCCGCGGUGAAUACGUUCCCGGGCCUUGUACACACCGCCCGUCACACCAUGGGAGCCGGUAAUACCCGAAGUCAGUAGUCUAACCGCAAGGAGGACGCUGCCGAAGGUGGGAUUAGCGACUGGGGUGAAGUCGUAACAAGGUAUC
rnacentral:rRNA from 1 species